rnacentral:rRNA from 1 species
CCUACGGGUGGCAGCAGUGGGGAAUAUUGGGCAAUGGGCGCAAGCCUGACCCAGCAACGCCGCGUGAAGGAAGAAGGCUCUCGGGUUGUAAACCUCUUUUUUCAGGGACGAAGCAAGUGACGGUACCUGAGGAAUAAGCCACGGCUAACUACGUGCCAGCAGCCGCGGUAAUACGUAGGUGGCAAGCGUGAUCCGGAUUUACUGGGUGUAAAGGGCGUGUAGGCGGGACUGCAAGUCAGAUGUGAAAACCACGGGCUCAACCUGUGGCCUGCAUUUGAAACUGUAGGUCUUGAGUACUGGAGAGGCAGACGGAAUUCGUGGUGUAGCGGUGAAAUGCGUAGAUAUUAGGAAGAACACCAGUGGCGAAGGCAGUCUGCUGGACAGCAACUGACGCUGAGGCGCGAAAGCGUGGGGAGCAAACAGGAUUAGAUACCCCAGUAGUC